rnacentral:rRNA from 1 species
GAGUUUGAUCUUGGCUCAGGAUGAACGCUGGCGGCGUGCCUAAUACAUGCAAGUCGAGCGAACGGACGAGAAGCUUGCUUCUCUGAUGUUAGCGGCGGACGGGUGAGUAACACGUGGAUAACCUACCUAUAAGACUGGGAUAACUUCGGGAAACCGGAGCUAAUACCGGAUAAUAUUUUGAACCGCAUGGUUCAAAAGUGAAAGACGGUCUUGCUGUCACUUAUAGAUGGAUCCGCGCUGCAUUAGCUAGUUGGUAAGGUAACGGCUUACCAAGGCAACGAUGCAUAGCCGACCUGAGAGGGUGAUCGGCCACACUGGAACUGAGACACGGUCCAGACUCCUACGGGAGGCAGCAGUAGGGAAUCUUCCGCAAUGGGCGAAAGCCUGACGGAGCAACGCCGCGUGAGUGAUGAAGGUCUUCGGAUCGUAAAACUCUGCUAUUAGGGAAGAACAUAUGUGUAAGUAACUGUGCACAUCUUGACGGUACCUAAUCAGAAAG